UUGGAUUGUGGUUAAGUUUAGUGAAAACAGUGCUGUGUCUUUCUUCACAUCCAAGUUCGUGGGCCACUUCGAUUCCACGCACGAACUCCAACUGCAGAGGUCUCGGAUGUUACUUGAGCAUGCGGGCUGGCAAAACAAGCGAGUUAUCCAAGGAACUGGAGCAUGUUGGCUUUGUGAACAAUCGAACCCAUUCAGCAAAGCAGUGAAGUUCACGAAAACAGCAGCCAGGGAUCUGAGCCAGGCCUGUUGUCACACCUCCUCUGACUAUGUUAAGACGACACACAUAUCGAUCGCGUUGCUCGGACUCGACUUAACCUAACCCCGAGGCGUUCGAAACGGUGCGACGGAGCCGCGGAGUCUGGGAACUUCUACAUUGGUUGACGGGAGAAAACAAUCUGAUUGGAACUUUAAACCCAGUUAAACACGUGUGUUCAUAGAGAAGCCGCUCAUGUCCUCAGCGUCGGAAGGCAGCGGUGGCUACGCUGAGGGCCCAGACGUCCUGGGCCUUCCCGGACACGACGGGUCAGGACUGGCGGGGCCCGGCGGUGGCCUGCGCACGGCUGUCCUUCCUGACGUGGGACCGUCUUCCCGACAUCCCUGCAUCCGCCCCACACCGUUCUGACCUCUUGGACUCCCCCUUCCCGGGACUGCGAGCCUUGGAGGGACAGGGAUGUGGAGAGGGAAAGGCCGCCCACCUCCCCACUUGCCACUGGCUUGCACCUGUCACUCAACACAGAGAUUAUUCAGCACAUUAUUAUUAUUGCAUUUCUGCCUCUUCUGGGACUUUCACUUCAUUAUUUUUCAAGAAACAAAAGUAAAAACCAGGAAAGACUUGGUUUCAUUUGUACAGUCUGCUCUUGCUUGGUGACAGGCGGCCGUGUGUGGGACAUGGGGCGACAGGCUGCCUUCCUGGCCUCUCGUCUUGUGAGACGGGCAUAAUGCCUGCUGCAGAGAGUUGCCGACAGGACCUGCUGUGCAUGAGGCAGGUGGCACGGGGCUGGGCACAUCUGAAAUGUCCAGGAAGCACGGCUCUCCCGCCUCGGGCCUCCUGCUAAGCCCACCCUGCAGACGCCGUCAUUCUCCUGUGGUCACGGUUUCAGUCCGUCACAGUCAGCCGCAGUUUGAACAUACCAAAUGGAAAGUCCCGGAAAUAAACAAUUCUUAAGUUUUAAAUUCCACGCCGCUCUGAGUAGUGUGAUGAAUCCUGCUCCAUCUUACCCAGGACGUGACUCACCCCUCUGCCCAGCGUCUCCACGCAGUAUGCACGGCCCGCCCCGGUCUCGGAGCGGCCAUCUCGGUGACCAGAGGGACUGUCUCGCUGUCGCAGUGCUGUGGUCGUCACCCUUAUUGUGCUUCAUGUCGGCCCCAAAGCCAGUCACGUAACUAUUAUUACAGUGUAUUGUUAUAACUGUUCUGUUGCUAUUGUGCUAACCUCUUGCUGUGCCUUAUAGAUCGAAUUGCAUCGCGGGUGUGUAUUUAUAGGGGAAACAUGUGGAUCUGGGGUCUGGUGCCACCCGCGGUUUCAGGCACCCCCUGAGGGUCUUGGGCGUGUCCCCGCCGAUGAGGGGGCGGCUGCAUCUGCAUUUAUAACACCAGGAAGCGGAGCCCAUGGAACGUCUCCGGCUUGGAGACGGCCAUUCUGUCUCUUCCGCCUUCUCGGAUGAACUGUUUUGUCUACGAGUUGCUUGGCUGCUUCCCGCUGCAUCGGGAGGGGCUCCGAUGAUGGCACUUGACCCUGUUCCGUGGGAGGGGGCCGCACGCUUGCCCUGGUUCUCUCGGCGCCCACACUGCCGUGCGUGCUGCGGAGGACACAUUUGCUCUGCGCUCUCUUGACACAGCUCUGAGCUGUUCUGUCUUUGCUCAUACUCAGAGUCACCUCGUCCCUCCUCUCGUUUUUCUCUAUCCAAAAUUUACACCUCCCUUUAACUGUGCCGCGGUGGCGGUGGCGGUGGCGGUGGCGGUAUAGUGGUGAGCAUAGCUGCCUCCCUCGAAUUGUGCCUUUUCCGAUCAUCCCAUCUUUCUGGGGUUCUCCCCAGCCUGCACCCCCUCCGCAGCUGUAGUCUGGAUGCUCACGUAGCACGUGGAACAUCCUGUCACCUGAGGCACAUUUUUAGCUCCAGUUCUGUGAUGAUCUGCAAGCGGGUCUCUGUGAGACUUGGCUGCGCAAAUCCAGGACUACUGCCCCGCACCCCCCUGCUUCUGUCCUCAUUGCACUGGGCCUUGCAGUAGUAAAUUCUUAACAAAUUCUUGCUGAAUACUUUGGGUCGAUUGCAAAAGAUUCAGUAUGUGACAUACUUGGAUAAGCACAGAUAAAGGGAAAAAGAUAAAAUGUCAGCUAGUGUCCUAAACGAAUUCUGUUCAUCUGUCAGAUGGGAAAAGUUUCCCCCAGAACUGAUUUCGUUAGAGUGUGUCUUGCUAAAACGAAGUGAAAGCCUUUCUUCAUCUUCGGCUUGUGUUGGUCUGAAGGAGGAGAUGAGAGAUGGUUGGCCCCUGGGUGAAAUGCCGCGACACAAUCAAGUCGAUGGUCAGCAAAACAGAGGCUGAUGUGCAGCACGCCCAGUGCUUAGAAUGGGGUCACCGAGACAGUGUUUCGGAGACCUGCCUCCAGUCUAGAGCGGACGUGUUAGGCCAAAUAACAGCCUCCCGAAGACGUCCAUGUCCUCAUCCCCAGACCCUGCGACUGUCACAUUGUCGAAGGGGCUUUACAGCUUGAGUCCCAGUUCAGUCCCUUUGGCCGUAAGUGGCGGUUCGAAGAUGGAGGUCUCCCUCGUUUUAAGGAACGCGAGCGUCACCAGAGGUGAGCUCGUGGGCCGCUCGCCGUGCUGGCGGCACAGGGGUAAAGAGGGUGGCGCGGGGCCGAGGGCCGGGCCUCGUUGCCGGUCGCUGCGCUCACGCCCCGGGAGACGCCUCUGAGACACUGGGCUGGCACAGCUCAGGCCUCGCGUUCCAGUCUGCUCUAUCUUGGACCUUGGCAAAGAGCGAGCCCCUUCAGGAGCUUUCAGGGAAGUGUGUGUGUCAUCUUGACAGUGGCGCCACAGACACAAAGGCGUUUUUGUUUGCUCCAAACACCGUGAAGAGUGUGAGAGCUAAUGCUUUCGGUCGCUCUCAUUCUCCAGGAGAAAUAAUGGUGCCGGCCUGUUCGGAAGCCGCUUUCACACAGCGCAGCGGGCUGCAGGCCGCCCUCGCGGUGCCGUGACGCCCGCGUGCUGUGACGUGCGGGCUCUGAGAACGAGCAGUGCGUGCGGGCCCCUCUGGUGGCGAUGAUGCAGAUGCAUCCAAGGACUGUGACACUCGCAGUUCAGCUCAGUUGCUUGUAAUUUCAUUAACUUACUUCCAUUCUACUUAAUUUUAUAUAACAGGUAUUUCUCGAGUCAGGAAACAUUUAGUAAAACUAUAACUUGAAAAGAUUAUUUACUAAAAGAUUCUAUAUUAAAAAUGGAAAUUCUAAUAACCGAAAACGCCUCAUGCGAUCAUAGCCUAGUGUGAAGAAGAUUUCAGCUCAGUUUGUUUGUAUGAGGCAGCCCCUCCCCGCAACGCGCACAGACGCUCACACGUGCCAGCUCUGUUCCCAGGUGCUGGCCUGACCCCCAACCCGUCCGCCUUUGUGAUGUGUGUUUAGUUGUCCCAAGAGAUAACAUGGACCUGGCUGGGAGUUUUGCUUUCAAAACAACUCAUCUGACCUAUCGGCUGUCUCACGCUUUGUAUCUAUAAUUAAAUAUAAGAAAAUCACAAGCCGCAAUAGGUACCGGAACAGAAGCAUCUCGGACACUCACUGUUUCCAUAGCACGUGGCUGAAAUCUCUCCACAGUCUUUCUGGGACCCGCUCGUACAAACGUAGCACCCUGAUACUGUGAAUGUAUGUUCUUCACUGUUGCUAAACUGGUUGGUUCUCUGUCAGACACACCCUUAUUUCUCCCUCCCUCCGUCCCUCCCUCCGUCCCUCUCUCCUCCAUCCCUCCCCCGCUCCUUCCCAGACUGGCGUGCACCCCUGCCCUUCUUGUCAGCACCCUUGAGGAUCAGCUCGGACCCCACUCCCUCAGCAGACGUUUAGCUCAGGAAGCCUCGCAGCGUGCGGAGCAUGUGCCACACGCAUCCCUCACUGCGCAACUUCAGCACAUGCUGACGGGGGCGGGGCGCCUCAGGGGGACCACCGUGGGCUCACCCGAGCGGGGCAGAAGUACUCCCUCUCCCCCUUGGGGUGCCCCUGUGUUCAGGGUGGGGUGCUGUUCACUGGAGGUUACCUGGCCACUGUCAAAAUAUUCCCCCAGACUCCGAUUUUGCCGAAAUGAGUAGGUUCUGAUACUUCUAAGAAUGUGACACCAUAAAAGUUAUUUUUAGAUUUUCUUAUGUUUAGGAAAAUUGAGCAUUUAAAAUUAAGAUUGGUAAAAAUUGCCAAUUUUUAUUACUGAGGACACAAAAAAUAAUGUAUCUUGAAAUUUCACAUAAUUUAUAUCUUAGUUUUUUAAACACUUGCACAUCUAUCAUCUUAUUUCAUCCUUCGUACAAAUUCACAAGCAUUAUUUCUCAAGUGGGCAUUAGGGGGCCAGGAGUGAGUCUCAGAGAAGCGCCCUCAGCUUCUCUUUUCCGUAGGUACCAGGGAGCCACGAAUGGGGGCCUUCCUGGUGUCCUUGUGAUUUGUCCCUCACUUGGGAUGGCCCGAGGAAGGUCUUACUGCAGACACCGUGCUGGGUUAGAUGUCUCUGCCCCUUCCUGUGCCACAGCUGUUGUCAAAGAUGCGAGUGUGGCGGGGGAAGGACACGAGGGAAGGGAGCCAGGGCCAGGUGGGGAGGCUGACGCCGGGAAGGGCGCGCGGGCAGGCCAUGCGGCGGGGCAGAGGGACGUGCCGUCGCGGGCUCACUGCCAGGAAAGAAGGGGAAAGAAGGUUCCCCUGCGCGUGUGGGAUGCGUUCCAGGGGGCGCCGGGCCAUCAGCAAGGGGAGGGGAGGCGGUCCCCACUAGGGUCAGGAAUUCAUGAGUCCCUGCAGAUGCGCACCACGCAGCAACACGCCGCUCUGGGAGCCAGUGCUAAGGGGUAGCCCGCCUUGUCCCCAGAGGACUGGGGAGCAAGCUCCUCCCGUUUCGCCUCUCACGUACUUUCGGACAAGGCCUUGCGUUCAAUGUAAUUGAGCUACUAAAUUUAAUUACCACUCUCGGAUACUUACUGAGAACCUGUCAUUAAUACCCCCUGGACAGUGGAGAAAGACUGAUUGCAAUACAGGAAAAUGAUGCCUGCCCUGGAGAAGUUCACAGCCUGUAGGAAGCAAUGAUUCAAUUGCAGGUGCCUCUAAAGAUGGUACAGACUUCUGACGGCCACUGGUAGGAUAUCAUUUAUUUUCAGGGCAUUGUGUCAUGAAACCAUUUAUUUAAUGGAUUGUUGGACACCAGAGAGACAGGCCGGUCACCGGUAUUCCCCGAUGCUAGUCUGAUGACUUCGAGAAAGGAAAUGACAUGACUGAGGCAUGACUUGUGCUUCGUGAGUUCAUGCUGACUUGGAGUGAUCACCGCUUCCCUUUUCCCGUCUUUAAGAUCUGGAGAAUCUUACGCACCUUCCUAAAUGUUUGGUUGCCAUCUGUAUUUCAUUUUUAGUAGGUUCAGAACUUCCUAGAAUCUCUCUGAAGAUAUUAAAUACAUUUUAAUCCCGCGUUUUAUUUCGUGUCGUGUUUUGUAUUUUCUCGGGGGAGCUCUGCUUAUGGAGUUGAGUGGUUUUCUUCCAGCUUCUUGGCCGUUUGGUCACGUUUGUAGGUGAGACCCGUCCCUGAGCAGCGCUGGUGGCCAAGACAGUAAGACAUCUCAUUUGCCUGGCUAGAAGCACAGGUGUGGGUCAGAUCAGCGCUGCCUCCAGGACGUGUGUGUGGCAGAGGGCAGGCGUGCUUUCCCGUAACCUGGGAGCAUGGCUGUCCGCAGGACGUGCAGCUGUCCUCCGCCUGCGACGAGGCCCCGGUUCUCUGCACCUGCCGUCCAUUUUGGAGUCUCGUGUGAAAACACCCUGUCCACAGUGUGAGCACGUCGCCAUCAGCUUCAGGGGGCACAGAACAGGUGCUGCCUCUGUGAGCAGCCUGGCGCUGUCCAGCGCGCGCUCCUCCCCGCCGGCCUCUGCGUAUUCUGCAGAAUUCUGCUGGGAAAACGCAUUUUCCAAGUCCUCUUUCCUGGCUCUGGACAUGGGGGCAGCUUGGCUCUGUCCCCCGUCAGCACCGGUCCCCCCAGAAGCUCCUCGCUGCUCCAAGGGACCUUUAGCAACAAACCCCUUCUGAAUUUUCUAAAACGUAUUUAGAUGCAUUGACGUUUCUGUGGGACUUGGGAGGACGUAAAUGCAUGUAUUCGUCCCGCCAGCUCUGGCGAGAAGCCACCCACUCUUCUUGGGUCCCUGGCGAUUAGCGUUCCGGGGGGGGCGGCCACAGCCACCAUGCGGCAUGUGGCCUUCAGAAGGGAGUCUCUGGUCUGGCCCUGAGCUGGCGCGGCCUGUCGUCUCUCAUACCCGUCGUUCCCUGCGGUUCCCCCAGGGUGACGGGCGGCAGCCCUCUGCCCACGCGCGCGCCCCGCAAGGCAUCGCACUCGCACGCCGGGCAUGGUAAGCAGCCUUGGCCUCCCUCACCUGCCACGGGGACUCCGUUUCCUUCGGUGUGCUUGUGCCGCCCUCUCACGUGGGAGAGAAGAAAGUCAGGAAGCUGUGACGUUGGCUAAGCGUUCGCCAAGGAUGGGGAGACCCUUGUCUUUCUUACCUCCAGCCUUUCCUUCUUUUCUCCGGGCUAAACUGAUUUCCAGCCUCUGCGUUCCUGGCACUAUUCAUCGAGGUCCAGCCUCGACUCCAAGUUCGUGAUUUCGUCCCUGGCCCCGUUCCUUCCCCAUCCGCCGGAGGUCUGCGUGUUGAAAUAGCUCGCUGCACCGCGUUAGUGAGAGCCGGGUCGGAGAGUAAGUGCUCAUUGCUGGCGCGAUACCCAGUGUGGCCAGUGUGGCCAGCAGACUCUGGACAGUGCCCUGAGGCAGCUCAGUGCAGCAGCUCUCCACUGGGGCGCACUCCCGCGUCACUGUCACCAGAGGUCCCUGUGACAACUGUGCUAACUCUCCCCAGGCUCUUUGUGGAGCUGUCCUCCUCCUCCCUCGGCUUCCUCAUUGCUGUGCUCGCGACGCCCGCGCCCCGUCUGGCCCCCGUCUCCCCUGCUCCAGCGUCUCCUCUCCUUCCGACAAAGGCUGUACUCUUCGCGACAUCCAAGUAGCUACUUUUAUGGAACUUAAUGCUGAAAUUGGAAAGGAAAGGAAGCGACCAAGUCCCAGCGGGCCAAACUGCAGGGUACUCCACGCUCCAGAGGGAGUGGCAGGCGUGACGGGCCCUUACUGACCUGCUUCCGACUGCGUUGUAAAGCGUUUCGUUGCCGUUAAAUCAGUGAAUGCAGUUCACAAUACUAACGAUGGUUCGAUGGUUCGAUGGUUCGUAAGUCACGGCAGGGCUCCGGGGGACGUGCGAGGUCUGCCUGGGCGCCCUGCUGUGGGUGGCAGGUCUACUGUCUGUGUAUGUUUCACCUCUUCUGAUCACGCGAAAUGGAUUUUAUAGGGUGCCCUCCAUGGCCCUCAGCGAGGCUGGUUAACGUCCUAGUGUGCGUCGGCGUGGGAGAUGGGGCUGGUCGGGCCGGCAGUGGUUGUAGCUACGGUCUGUUUUCAAAUCUUGACCAGUUCUUAAAAAAAGUUAUUCGAACACAUCUGUAUCACUGUAACUGAAUGUGUUUUUAUCAGUAAAAAUGGCAAUUUUUUUCUUAGGAUGACUGUAAUCCCUGUUCAUUUAUUUAAUUUGGAAAAUACAGACAAGGAAAUGGAAGAAACAACACCUUUAAUCCCAUUACCCAGAGGCAGCCUUUGUUUGUCUUUUUCUCCAUUUUCUACCAAACGGCAUCAUAUCAAGCAUCCCAUCUGUAACUCGUUUCUUCCACAUAACAAUAGUUAAUAUCUUUUGAUAUCAGUAUUUAUCUAAAACAUGAAAAGGUGGUGAUCCUCAAACUCUAGCUUUCAUUACCAUGAAACUAAUGAAACUUAACCUUUAAGGCCACUCACGCACCCUGGAACAGGCUGCACAUGUGUUCUCAUAGUCAUAUGUUUUUGUAAAAUUUGCAGAAGUAAGAUACUUUAAUUUUUUUUCCCUAAAGAGAGCCCUUCCAAAUUUUAGAAGCUUUAGGUCACACGAAGUCUGGAUUUUUCCCUGAUGGUGAGUCCUUUGCUUUCCCGUUUCCAUUCAUUAACAGACUUUUGAAUAUGUCGUAUGGGCUGCGAGGUUCUGGGCCCCCGGGCGUGUCAGUGAGCAGGGCUGCAGGGGAGUCGAGCUUUCUUGGCGCUUCGGCUGCGGCGGGGGAGGUGGGCAGCAAACGUCAGCAGCAAGUGCUCGCCUGGUGUGUUAGCAGGUGAUGCGGGCUGUGGAGGCGGCAGGGAGGAGGGUAAAGGAGACGGGGCAUUUGGCAGAGGCGGAGGUCAGGGAGAACUGAGAAGGCGGGGCAGGCUCGUCCUCAGAGAGAAGAGGACAUCUGUGCUAGGACAGAGCCGUCGUUUUCAAGGUCAUUCAGACAUCCUUUUAGCGAGGUUAGCUUUACAGGCAUUGCGAGUUCUUCAUGAUGACACACUACUUUCCAGAUGACAUAAUUCUAUAGGCGAUAUCCGUAUACGUCCUGAAAUUCUUUGCCUGCUUAAAGGUCUGUGUUUUACAGUUGGUUAAUGUGAUGAAUAAGACCACAUUAUGAAGUUUUACCUUGAACCGAGAUUAAAUACAUAUAGGCCACAACUGGUUGAAGAUUUUGUUUUAAAUGCAGUUUUGCUUGCUAACAACGUAACGGUCAUACUAACAUGAAAUUAAUAGGUUUUAAAUGGAAAUUAGAGAAACAGCUGUCCAGAUUUCUUGACCCUUUCACAAUGUUUUACAAGAAAUUCUGUAACCUCGACUUUAAAAAUACAUAAUGGAAGACUCAUUUAGCAAGCUCGGCCCACAGAUGGUGAGUCUGAUACUUGCCACAGCUGCAGAGGCCCACCUUUGAAUGACAUGGGGGCUCCCAAGUUCAAAGGUCAUGGGUGUACAUCGUGAAAAGCAAACAAACUCAUCAACAUAAUAUAGUUUCUACUAAACCUAAAAAUUGGUGGCCCUUUUAAAUAAGCCUAUUUUUACAAGGUAUAUUGAUGCAUCGUUUAUAUAUAAAAUUCCUGGAACGACGCAGCAGAUUGUUAACAGUACUUAUUUUUGUGCUCAUCUGUACCUUUUAACUUUUUCAAUUUUGUGCACAUGUUGCUUGAAUAAAGAUGUAGUUUUUAUAUUU